GUGCCAGCAGCCGCGGUAAUACGGGGGGAGCAAGCGUUGUUCGGAAUCACUGGGCGUAAAGGGCGUGUAGGCGGUUCGGUAAGUGGGAUGUGAAAUGCCCGGGCUCACCCCGGGACCUGCAUCCCAUACUGCUGAGCUUGAGUACAGGAGAGGGUGGGGGAAUUCCUGGUGUAGCGGUGAAAUGCGUAGAUAUCAGGAGGAACACCGGUGGCGAAGGCGCCCACCUGGCCUGCUACUGACGCUGAUGCGCGAAAGCUAGGGGAGCAAACGGGAUUAGAUACCCCCGUAGUCC
rnacentral:rRNA from 1 species